rnacentral:rRNA from 1 species
AAUAGCAUAUACCAAAGUUGUUGUGGUUAAAAAGCUCGUAGUUGGAUCUAAAGCUUUGGAUUCCGGUCCCCCACAGGGCGUGUACUGGUUUUCCUGGCCUAUCUCGUUGGUUAUCCCUUGGUGCUCUUAACCGGGUGUCUUGGGCGAUCAACAUGUUUACUUUGAAAAAAUUAGAGUGCUUAAAGCAGGCGGUUUUGCCUGAAUAGUGGUGCAUGGAAUAAUGGAAUAGGACCUCGCUUCUAUUUUGUUGGUUUUCGGAGCGCGAGGUAAUGAUUAAGAGGGACAGACGGGGGCAUUCGUAUUGCGACGUUAGAGGUGAAAUUCUUGGAUCGUCGCAAGACGGACAACUGCGAAGGCAUUUGCCAAGAAUGUUUUCAUUAAUCAAGAACGAAAGUUAGAGGUU